rnacentral:rRNA from 1 species
UGCAGUCGAACGGUGAUAGCAAUAUCAUAGUGGCGCACGGGUGCGUAACACGUAUGCAACCUACCUAUUAUUGGGGGAUAGCCUUUGGAAACGGAGAUUAAUACCGCAUAAUACGAUUGACUGGCAUCGGUUGAUUGUUAAAGCUUUGGCGAUAAUAGAUGGGCAUGCGUCCAAUUAGUUAGUUGGUUAGGUAACGGCUGACCAAGACGAUGAUUGGUAGGGGAUCUGAGAGGAUAAUCCCCCACACUGGCACUGAGAUACGGGCCAGACUCCUACGGGAGGCAGCAGUAGGGAAUAUUGGGCAAUGGGCGGAAGCCUGACCCAGCCAUGCCGCGUGCAGGAAGAAGGCGUUAUGCGUUGUAAACUGCUUUUUUAUAGGAAGAAGGAUCCCUUGCGAGGGAAGGUGACGGUACUAUAAGAAUAAGCACCGGCUAACUCCGUGCCAGCAGCCGCGGUAAUACGGAGGGUGCAAGCGUUGUCCGGAUUUAUUGGGUUUAAAGGGUGCGUAGGCGGUUUAUUAAGUCAGUGGUGAAAGACGGUCGCUCAACGAUUGCAGUGCCAUUGAUACUGGUAGACUUGAGUGAGGUUGAGGUAGCUGGAAUGGAUAGUGUAGCGGUGAAAUGCAUAGAUAUUAUCCAGAACACCGAUUGCGAAGGCAGGUUACUAAGUCUUAACUGACGCUGAGGCACGAAGGUGUGGGGGAUCAAACAGGAUUAGAUACCCUGGUAGUCCAUACUGUAAACGAUGAUGACUAACUGUUGGCUUUU